rnacentral:rRNA from 1 species
CCUACGGGAGGCAGCAGUGGGGAAUAUUGGACAAUGGGCGCAAGCCUGAUCCAGCCAUGCCGCGUGUGUGAAGAAGGCCUUCGGGUUGUAAAGCACUUUCAGUUGGGAGGAAGGGUUGUGUGUUAAUAGUACACAGCCUUGACGUUACCAACAGAAGAAGCACCGGCUAACUCUGUGCCAGCAGCCGCGGUAAUACAGAGGGUGCAAGCGUUAAUCGGAAUUACUGGGCGUAAAGCGCACGUAGGCGGUUUUUUAAGUCAGAUGUGAAAGCCCCGGGCUCAACCUGGGAAUUGCAUUUGAAACUGGAAAACUAGAGUGUGUGAGAGGGGGGUAGAAUUCCAAGUGUAGCGGUGAAAUGCGUAGAGAUUUGGAGGAAUACCAGUGGCGAAGGCGGCCCCCUGGCACAACACUGACGCUCAGGUGCGAAAGCGUGGGGAGCAAACAGGAUUAGAUACCCCGGUAGUC